rnacentral:rRNA from 1 species
UACGUAGGGGGCGAGCGUUGUCCGGAAUUAUUGGGCGUAAAGCGCGCGUAGGCGGUUUGUUAAGUCCGAUGUGAAAACUCCCGGCUCAACUGGGAGACUGCAUUGGAAACUGAUGAGCUAGAGUCCAGCAGAGGGAAGUGGAAUUCCAAGUGUAGCGGUGAAAUGCGCAGAUAUUUGGAAGAACACCAGUGGCGAAGGCGGCUUCCUGGACUGCGACUGACGCUGAGGCGCGAAAGCUAGGGGAGCGAACAGG